rnacentral:lncRNA from 1 species
CUCGGAGCUCCAUUCUCGAAGAUCCACCUGCCCGCCCAGCAAGGGUCUCUACCUGGGCAUCUAACAGGACUCUUGAUCCCGAGGUGGUCAAAGCAGGCCCUGCUCAGUGAGCAGCAUCACCUCCCAUGCCCUCCUCCCACCCAGCCGUGCAGGCCAAAGCCAGGAACCCCAGAAAACAUGCCUCAGCUGCAGGUGCACAGUGGGGGCCCCGAGGUAGGAGGGGGAGCAGCCUGCCGUUCUGAGACCCACCCACCUCGACAGAAGGCCUCUCUGGGGUCCAGGCUGAUUGAUUAUGCACCGCAGACAAAAAUCAGUAGAGCAAAAUUGGGAACUUGGAAGGAGGUAAACAGAGCCCUCCCUCUACUGGCUAUGGUGGAGCUCCCUGGAGCUCUGGGCAGGGGGUUCCGGGUAGAAAGAGAGAAGAGAGGAGUUAACACCAACCACCCAGCUCAUGCGGGAGCCUGAAGGUGAAGAACCAGAGGAUGGCGUUCACAGGAGGCAGAGGCAGCAUGGGGCCCCCACUCAUUUUACCAUCACGGAAAUGGCUCUGGAGUGGCCGGGCCCCAAGGGAAGCAGUCUCCCCAGCUCCAAGGCUGGCUGGAUUUUUCUGAACUUUAGUGCUUACGUAGGUUUUCUGGGUGAUCUUGUGGCUUGAAAAGGCUCCCCUUUACCUCCCAGGAACUCCCCUAGAGACAAAGGGAGCUUGCUGACCGGAGAACUCGGAACACACCCAUCCACAGCAAACACACCCCGGCCCAGGCUCACCAGGCACAGGGGCAUCAGGCGGUGGGCGGGAGCCCAGAGGCUGCCCUGCCUGGACAGGGCCAUGUGGAUUAUUCUAAAGGGACAGUGUGGCCACCCACCUCCACUCACUGUUACAAGCCAGCAUCUGAGAUUAUGCAAUAUAUGUGGACAGCUGAUAACCGACACUGACCACUCAGCAGUUUAGAAGCAAGGAAGUGCUGUAUCACUGGAACGACAUCCUGCCAGGGCCCAGGACGCCCGAUGGCCCCGCUGGUCAGGGCUGGGUCCAGCCUGAGCAGCCCUCCCUCAGACUGCUUCUCCUGGCGGUGCAGGGCCAGCCCCGACCUCCACCAGGCAGCCAGAAUUCCUCCGCUUUCAGGGGACUGCAGGAAUGAACUGGAACUCCACACCGAGGACAGGUGUGCCGCCACGACAGCUCACAGCCAUCAGGAAGCACAAGGUCCUGCUUCUGCCGGUGACUUAGAAAGUGGUAUCUGGGACGCACCAUGAAGUGAAAUGAGCAAGGUGCAAAGAGGAACAGGACAAUUCCAUUUCUAAAAACCAAACAGGACAACCUCCUGUGUGUGUGCGCGCGUGUGCGUGUGUGUGUGCAGAAAAAGAAGCCUGAAGGGUUAACAGAGCUAAAUCUGGGUGGGAGGCGGGUUAAGAGCGGGAGAGGUGCAGAAAACAUGAAAACCAUAGUGAAAGAGCAGCGUGUGUGUGAUGUGAUAUUCCCUGAAAAUGUAGAAUACCGAAUUCUACCUGUACUAUUUUUGUAUCUAAAAACUGAUAUAAAACAAAGUAAGUACGCCUGUGGACAAACA